GGGCGGUUAGCUCAGCUGGUAGAGCAUCGGUUUUACACGCCGGGUGUCAGAGGUUCAAGCCCUCUACCGCCCA
rnacentral:tRNA from 2 species